CUCUUUUUCCUGUACGUACCGGCUGUACGUUUUGUAAGAAACACUUCAGUCUGGUAAAGUCUGAGCUUCGUCAUUGCUGCCCAAUGUACACAUGGAUUUGAUGCAGCCAGCUGGUAAAGGGUGUCCCUCUUCUACCUGUACUGCUGUGUGUUUCUUCAAAUGAAGAAACAUGAACAACUGAAGUUUAGUGUUUUAUGUUCGCGUAGUUGCUGUCCGCUGUGGAGCGUUGUUGAAGCCUAUGC
rnacentral:lncRNA from 1 species